rnacentral:misc_RNA from 1 species
AACGCACAUUGCGCCCGCUGGUAUUCCAGCGGGCAUGCCUGUUCGAGCGUCAUUUCAACCCUCAAAACCUCGGUUUUGGUGUUGGAGGAAUACCCUGAAAAAAGGGUACCCUCUGAAAUUCAGUGGCGGGCUUGCUAGAAUUUUGAGCGUAGUAAUUUAUACCUCGUUUGUAAGGACUGGCGGUGCUCUUGCCGUAAAACCCCCCAACUUUCUGAAAAUUGACCUCGGAUCAGGUAGGAAUACCCGCUGAACUUAA